CAGGUCUUGCAUCUUACCCCAUUGACACCGUCCGCAGAAGGAUGAUGAUGACCUCUGGAGAGGCUGUCAAGUACAAGAGCUCCUUGGAUGCUUUCCAGCAGAUCCUGGCGAAGGAGGGUGCCAAGUCCCUCUUCAAGGGUGCUGGUGCCAACAUCCUCCGAGCCAUUGCUGGUGCUGGUGUGCUCUCCGGCUAUGAUCAGCUCCAGAUCCUCUUCUUCGGCAAGAAGUACGGCUCAGGCGGUGCCUAGACGGGAAGAAAUGAUGACGAACAAGAGAAGUCUGUUCCCAGUCCUGCCCUUCGAGGAUCUGGCGAACUUUUAUCUUUUUAACGUUGGAAGGCAAUAAUUUCUGUAGAGGGUGGAUUUUCCCAACAUUCGUUUUUGGUGGAGGCAUCGAACUCCAGAGGUUGUCGUAGGUUGGCGGCAGCGUUCUCAAAACAUUUACUAUCAUAGGGGUUGAGUUUGAGUCCGAGUAUGUGCCCUGAAUCGUUACUGGGCAAUUUUCCUUAAAUACAUUGUCCUCGAAUCCGACUGAGAUUAUUAUGGUCCAAGUUUAUUCUGUUGGUCUUGACAUUCUAUUUCUGUUUGCAUUGUUUAGUUUGUAGAAUCUGUUGCUUUGCCCUAUGAUUCUUGUUAUACUCGUUUUGUUCGUGAGAUGCCUAUUAUUCUCGUUAGUACUACCUCAGUUUUGAA
rnacentral:lncRNA from 1 species